rnacentral:rRNA from 1 species
UACGGAGGGUGCAAGCGUUAUCCGGAUUCACUGGGUUUAAAGGGUGCGUAGGUGGGCAGGUAAGUCAGUGGUGAAAUCUCCGGGCUUAACCCGGAAACUGCCAUUGAUACUAUCUGUCUUGAAUACCGUGGAGGUGAGCGGAAUAUGUCAUGUAGCGGUGAAAUGCUUAGAUAUGACAUAGAACACCAAUUGCGAAGGCAGCUGGCUACACGAAUAUUGACACUCAGGCACGAAAGCGUGGGGAUCAAACAGG